rnacentral:rRNA from 1 species
UGGGGAAUAUUGCACAAUGGGCGAAAGCCUGAUGCAGCGACGCCGCGUGAGGGAUGACGGCCUUCGGGUUGUAAACCUCUUUCAGCAGGGACGAAGCGCAAGUGACGGUACCUGCAGAAGAAGCACCGGCUAACUACGUGCCAGCAGCCGCGGUAAUACGUAGGGUGCAAGCGUUGUCCGGAAUUACUGGGCGUAAAGCGUUCGUAGGCGGUUUGUCGCGUCGUUUGUGAAAACCAGCAGCUCAACUGCUGGCUUGCAGGCGAUACGGGCAGACUGGAGUACUGCAGGGGAGACUGGAAUUCCUGGUGUAGCGGUGAAAUGCGCAGAUAUCAGGAGGAACACCGGUGGCGAAGGCGGGUCUCUGGGCAGUAACUGACGCUGAGGAACGAAAGCGUGGGUAGCGAACAGG